UAUUUCCUUCCGUAAAACCAAGGGGUAGCCUGCCUAGCCUCAACCGCUCGCCGCCUCCUUUGGGAUCGGAUGUAGUCUCUUCUUCUGGUCCGCCGAUGGCUACCGCCGCGAAGCUCAGCGCCGCUCCUCCGAGCAGCCGCCACCGGUCUGCGGCCGCCACCGACACCUGUUCCGCGUCGCGGCCGAGAAGGGCUCCGAGAGGGUCCAGCCGGCCCGAUCCAGGUGGUGUAGGAGGCGACGACGACGACGACGGCGUCUGUGGUUACACCGCCGCUGGUUCCCGACACUUCUAGCCCUCUUUGAGGACUCUCUCUAGGUAUUGUACUCUCUCCUCGACAUACUGUUCCAAAGCGUGCGCCUUUCCUGGAUGUCAUAGGGACCGUCCCGUCCGUUUGUAUAGUCAGCCGACGUACUCCUCGAGCGGCACGUUCACCUAGGAUCUGGGCCCCUGUCGUGUACCGCGGUCUACGCUCACGAUUUAGGUGAACAACGCACGCUAAACGCUGAAACUGGAAGUCGACCAUACACGAGUACCCGUACCGGCGACCAUUCUAGCAACUUAACCUAGGUCUACUUUUCGUUACCUAGGUCUUCUUUUCUCCCCUCCGCGCGUUCGUUUCACUUUGUUUUACUAACUCCCGGUACAAAUACUUGCCGUGUCCAGGUUAUUUACCAACAAUGACACAAGAAUGUACCUGCUAGUAGCUAGCGAAACAUCCCGGCUAGAUCGACCAACCAUGGUUCAACAGAUCUACAAUACUAUAUAGAUAAAAUCACAGAGGGCAAAGAUACAAACAACUUCUAUAACUUUAUUCCUCAAGUGUCGAGGACGACUACAACGACGAAUUUCCGACUGUACAUUUUUUUCAAUUCGACAUCAUCUUCGUAGAAGACCCCUC
rnacentral:rRNA from 1 species